GCGCCCGUGGUGGAACGGCAGACACGAUAGGUUUAGGACCUAUUGCCGAAAGGUGUGGAGGUUCGAAUCCUCCCGGGCGCA
rnacentral:tRNA from 1 species